AUGUGGUGCAUCUCCAUGGAUGACGUGGUCUCGGACCGUGGUCCCCAGUUCACAGCCCGGUUCUGGAGGGCCUUUUGUCAUCUAUUGGGAGCAUCAGUCAGCCUAUCUUCGGGCUAUCACCCGCAGAACAACAGCCAAACGGAGCGGGCAAACCAACAACUGGGUCGGUACCUCCGCUGCUUUGUCUCGGCCCAACGCUUGCAGUGGCCUAAGUACCUUCUCUGGGCUGAGUUAUCCCACAAUCUCCACACCUCCUCGGCCACUCUGAUGUCCCCGUUCGAAGUCUGUUAUGGCUACCACCCUCCAGUCUUUGCCCACCAGGAACCCGAAGUUACGGUGCCGGCCGCUCAAUCCCUGGUGAGGCGCUGCAGGAACACCUGGAUCAAGGCGCGGGCCUCCAUAACCCGAGCUAACACCCGUUACUCUCACCAACAUCUCUACCGACACCGUCCUGGUCCCUCCUAUGCUCCAGGGGAUAAGGUCUGGGUGUCCACGGCAGACCUCAGUGUCCGUGCCGGGUCCAGGAAGCUCGCGCCCUGGUUCCUCAGGCCUUACCCCGUGCAAAGGGUCAUCAACCCGGUCAGGUACCGGCUGCGGUUGCCUGCGAGUCUCCGCAUCCAUCCCACCUUCCAUACCUCCCGGCUCAAGCCCUACGUGGAAUCCUCCCUCCUGCCGCCUCCGGCGCCUCCGCCUGCCCGCUUCCUCAACGGUGAGCCCAUCUACACCGUCCGGCGCAUCCUGGACGCUCGCUGCAGGGCUCGGGGCUGGCAGUAUCUCGUCGAUUGGGCGGGCUAUGGCCCCGAGGAACGCUCCUGGGAGCUGGUCCGCUCCAUCUUGGACCCUACCCUCGUCUCUGACUUCUGGAACCGCCGAGGUCGCCCUGGGACUUCUGGAGCCGUCCCUGGACCGGGGGUCCUGUCAGAGCCCAAGCCCCCGGACCAGUCUGUCCCAGCUAACCGGCCUCCAUCUUGGACCACAUUUCCCAGCAUGCUCCUCGCGGGAACUCCCGGCAUUCUCCCCGUCACUCCCAGGUCUAUAUAUGGAAGACGCCGCACCGGCUCUUCACUCAGUCAUCGUUUUUUUGAAAUCCAUGAACAGAGUUCUCUACCAAAUAAUCCAGCCUUCUAA
rnacentral:lncRNA from 1 species